rnacentral:lncRNA from 1 species
GCUGCAUCUUGUCGGGUUGCAUGCCGCUUUCGAUUUAGUCGGCAAUAUCUUUAUUUAUAUAUACAUAAAUCUACUUUAAUGUGUGUACAUUUUCGUUCAUGAAUUUGCUAAUUUGUGUUUAGGUUCCUUCUACAUUAAACUCUUCUUGUUACAGUUUAAUGGGCAAUUGUUCUGGCGCUGGAAUCGGAUCUUCGUUUCAGGCAAGAAGUGCUUUUAGCACUUAAAUUAAAUAAAUAUUAAGCAAAAUAUUACUUAGGCGCCAAGAAUGAAAAAAAACUUUUUUUAUGUAUUUUCUCACAUUACUUUUAUCAAUUUUUGUGACUUUUUUUAUUAGUUUCAUCGAACACCGAAGUCUUUGCACUGCACUCAGAAGCAAAACUGAAAUUCCCUCGCAAAAUCUGCCCAUGGACUUGCAACAUUUGAUGUCUGUGGGGCAUAAAUCAGCACAACCCACCGACAAAAGACUCAAGUAGCAAACUUACACCCGACAGUGCCAUAAAAAAUGGCAAAAUUAUACCAAAAACACACACAAAAUUAAGCCUGAAAAAUUGCUAUUAUUUUUCAAAAUAUUAUUGCACUUUAUAAGUUAUGCUGAAGAGCAACAAAUUGUUGGCCAAAGAAAAAAUACAAUAAACUAGAAAAUGGCAAGCAAAAACGCUCAAAAGUAAAUACAGAAAAAGGAGGAUAGAAAAUGUUUAACAAAUUAUGUGUAGGGGUAACGAAAUGUUUAAUAAAUUAUGUGUGGGCGGAGGAGUGGAAAAAGGUUGGGUUUUGAGUGCAGUUUUGCGUAUCCAAAGUGGCUAUUGCAUGGCCUUAAUGCCAGCUUACAACUUUAUUUCCUGGUGGAUGGUACACUUAUAAAGGCUAUUCGGGAUUUGUCAGGGAGCCAGGAGUCCCAAUGGUCCCUCUGGCAACAUGGAAGUUAGUGGCUUAGAUUAAAAGAAAUAUUUAACUAAAAUAAUGAUCAAUGUUUUCCCGAUGAAAAUCAAUAUAAAAAUAUUACAAAACAUUUUGGCAAGUGUAUCUAAGACUCUUCUUUUCCUCUUUCCUUUCUGUUACUAUUUUUAGUUAGUUAAAGAACGAUUGCUGCUUGAGCUGUGGCAAAGCGACAGCAGCGGAAAUUAAUGAGCAUAAUUAGCAACACGCAGGGGCAGGCAGGGAAAACCAAGAAAUAUCAUUGCAUGGUCGUUGGGCUGAACAUUUUUUGGUGUUGCGCAUUUUUAUUGCCACUUAGCCAAGGUUUUUUUGCAGAUGCUUUUUUCUGCAGUGUUAUUAGUUUUUGGAUUUUACUGCCAAUGCAUGUCUAUCGGCACAAUUAAAUUUGUUGCACUCGCUGCACAAAAUGCAUAAACAGUUGCCGUUUGCCACAACUCGAUGGCUCUGCUACUGCCACUGCCACUGCCACUGCCACUGCCUCUUGCAACUCGACGGUUGCCACUGCCUUUCUGUUCACAAAUUGACACGCAAAUUGUUCCAGGAGGAGUGCCAGCAUUUAACUUCAACGAGGCAGAAACCAAAAACCAAAGUAAUGUUUAAAAUGCUGUUCACUCUUUUCAUUGCUAAUUACAGUAAGUGCAAGGAGGAGAUAAGCGAUCAGCAGCAUUGAUAUCAAAUGCGAAAAACGUACAAAACUUAAUAAAGAACGGCAAUAAAUCAAAUAAAACUGAACUAAACGCAACAUUACAC